CCCAGCACACACUCAGAAAACACUAAAGCUCUUCUCCAGCAGAUGGUUAAGACUGCUGAUCCAGCUGACAGGAGAGAAGCAGCGCAGGGGGCAUGACUUACUGUAGCUCUUGGCCCGGGAAGCUGAACACUCAGUACCCUGUACUCCACUAGCCUUGGGCAGCACAGGAGUCUGAUAAAAGGCUGGUAAAAUCAUCACUGAGAAGCCCGUGUGUUCUGACCUUGAGCUGAGGCCGAGUUGCCACAUCGUUCUUGCCGUCUACAGUUGCUGCCACGUGGGAGAAACUGGCUGGAAAGGGCCCCGAGAGCAGGUGCCAGGAGGCGGCACGGGUUUUCACACACUGCAUUCUCACAGCCUUGUCAGAGGACUGUUAGGCAAUCGCCAGAGGUUACGAAGUUGGAACAGCAUUCUCCUCGGAUAGGUCAUUUUUCCUGCAGGGCAGCUUAGAGGCAAAUUUCAUUAAGUAUCAGGUAGCUGAUCCAAAGCAGUAUAAAUAGCGAGGGAUCAUGUGACGAACGCAGAACUGAAUGUGGUCAAAUCCUGGGCUGAGUGCGUGUGAUGUGUUUACUGUCACCAGCACCUGCACGGAGACGUUCACCCAGCAACCGUCUAGGAAAGGUGUUAAGGCACAGAAAUGGAGAUAUUAGGGUUUCGUCUUAGAAACUAAUUUUAUUCCCACUUUGAAAGCUUGCUGACCACACAGUUACCAAGAAAAGGACCUGUGAAUAGGCUAGAUGUGCUUAAGUGUCAUUGAAGAGAAGUAGAGACUGAUUCUUAUAAAACAGGCUAAGUUCAUUCAGAAUGUAACCAGUGGGAACCACACUUGAAUGAGGCUCACUGGGCCACAGACGACUGGUUACGAGAGGCCAUCAAGGUUUCUCAGGCCAGUUGCCUAGACCAGCUGCUUCGUCAGUCCUGUCCCCAUUGGCUGGAGCUGCUGACAUUCCACAAGACAAUCUUGUGUUCUCACAAUGGUGGGAGGAGGCUCUGGGAAGACACGGCGUAACCUGGACGACAAUGGAAAUUGUUGAACGCUCCCACUCAGAGACAGCAAGCUUCCAAGGUGUCCUGGCCCAGUAUGCACUGCAGCUUCCUGGCUCCCUGGACCAAGACCAAAAGGGCCACAGGAGUUCAGAGGCCAGAGCGACCACGAAGGGCUGAUGCCGUCAAGAGGUGCCUCCCAGAGGGUGUGGGGCGUGGGUGGGGCAUGGCUUUCCCCAGACUCACCUCACUCCCCCGGCUGUUCACUCCUUUCCCAAUAGUCACUCUCCUUUUUUUUAAAAUUAGUAAAAUGACCCCCAAAUGGCAAUGUGCCUGGUUAAAGACUACAUUUCCCAGCCUCCAUGAGGUCUAAGGAGAUGUUAUUGUGUGUACAGUGUAGCCAGAUAAAAUAUGGUCUGCCUAGUUAAUUUUUAAUUUCAGAUAAACAAAUAAUUUUUAAUACAAGUAUGUCCCAUCUAACAUAUUAGUAUUUUUAUUUGCCAAAUCUGGCAACCCUAUGGGUGGAACUUCUGGAAACGAGGGACGUGCUCUCCCUGCCCCCUCUCUUUUCCUUCCUGGGACAUGGAUGGAAUAGCUGGGACUUCAGCAACCAUUUUGGAUCCUGAGGUUAGAUGUCAGAAGAGGAGGACAGAAAACCUGGGUCCCUAAUGACCACACACCUUCUGACUUUAUGUGUGAGAUGAAAGCACUGAUUUGCUUUAGCCACGAAUACCUGUUAUUUGUACCCAAUUGCUAUUCCUAACUGGUAUAGCCGUAAUAAAAUGUGCUCUGUUAUUUUUGCCAUUAACGCUGCCAUUGUUGCCUUUGCCUCUUAAUAACAUAAACCAUUAGUUUUUACUUACUAUAUAUUUUAAGGACCCCAAGAGGGAAUGGAUUGUAUUCCCUACACCCUUUAAAAAUGACAGCUCU